CGCUGUUCUCAUCUUUUGAGGUGUUUUUUGUUCGUAACUUGGUUAAAAGCGACUUAUUUUAAGUAGGAUUUAGUUGAGAGCCGGUACGUUGGCAACUCAUAUCUCUUCUUGGAUUAUUCUAUAAAACAAUUUGUGUGUAUCAACAACUCCACGAUGAGAUCCUAAGCAAAAUGAUCUCAAUAUUCGGGUUUGUUUGAUCUUUAAUUGAAAAUAAUCGCAUUUAUACCCUGUAUAUUUAACCAUACAAGAAAUUUCGGAUACUUAUUUUAUUACUAGUAGCUGUAAAAGCUCAUACCUAUUUUAUAUGCAUGCGGUCCAACAAUUUUGGUGAGCUAUUAUUAAGCCACUUUAGGCGUUCAACCGGCGAGUGCUUAAUUACUAUUCAUAUUGUAUAAUUUAACGAACGCACUUAAAAAACACGCAUGCAUCUCCACAUACGCACCAAAAA